rnacentral:rRNA from 1 species
GAUGAACGCUGGCGGCGUGCCUAACACAUGCAAGUCGAGCGGCAGCGAGGGGUGCUUGCACCCUGUCGGCGAGCGGCGGACGGCUGAGUAACGCGUGGGAACGUGCCCCAAAGUGAGGAAUAACUGCCCGAAAGGGUAGCUAAUACCGCAUAUUAUCUUCGGAUCAAAGGAUUUAUCCGCUUUGGGAGCGGCUCGCGUCGGAUUAGGUAGUUGGUGAGGUAAUGGCUCACCAAGCCGACGAUCCGUAGCUGGUCUGAGAGGAUGACCAGCCAGACUGGAACUGAGACACGGUCCAGACUCCUACGGGAGGCAGCAGUGAGGAAUCUUCCACAAUGGGCGAAAGCCUGAUGGAGCAACGCCGCGUGAAGGACGAAGGCCUUCGGGUUGUAAACUGCUUUUAUAAGUGAGGAAUAUGACGGUAACUUAUGAAUAAGGAUCGGCUAACUAUGUG